rnacentral:rRNA from 1 species
GUGAGGAAUAUUGGUCAAUGGGCGCAAGCCUGAACCAGCCAUGCCGCGUGCAGGAAGACGGUCCUAUGGAUUGUAAACUGCUUUUAUUUGGGAAUAAACUCCGGUACGUGUACCGGCCUGAAGGUACCAAAUGAAUAAGCACCGGCUAACUCCGUGCCAGCAGCCGCGGUAAUACGGAGGGUGCAUGCGUUAUCCGGAAUCAUUGGGUUUAAAGGGUCCGCAGGCGGUCUUAUAAGUCAGUGGUGAAAGCCUACAGCUCAACUGUAGAACUGCCAUUGAUACUGUAGGACUUGAAUUCGAUCGAAGUGGGCGGAAUGUGACAUGUAGCGGUGAAAUGCUUAGAUAUGUCACAGAACACCGAUAGCGAAGGCAGCUCACUAGGUCUGGAUUGACGCUCAGGGACGAAAGCGUGGGGAGCAAACAGGAUUAGAUACCCUUGUAGUCC